AUGGCCUACACAGUGCUCUCCUGUGUGUUUUUAUGUUUCCUGGGAACAGGGUCCAUGGAUUCUGGCGUUACUCAGACCCCAAGGAAAAGGAUCACAAAGACAGGAAAGAGCACUGUGCUGGAAUGUUCUCAGACUAAGGGUCAUGACCGAAUGUACUGGUACCGACAAGAUCCAGGGCAGGGUCUACGGCUGAUCUACUUCUCCAUUGGUGUCAAAGACAUCAACCAAGGAGAGUUCUCCAAUGGGUACAGUGCCUCUCGGACAGAGAAGCCUAAAUUCUUCCUGACUGUAGAGACUGCCACCCCCAACCAGACAGCUCUUUACUUCUGUGCCAGCUCUCCUUUACACAGUGUGUCUGGGCCACCUGCUCUCUGCACAGAAAGACAGGCUCAUGGUCCUGCGUCCUCUGAGCGCAGCUUCACCAUUCACCUCUAG